AUACACGAAAGUGUGACGGGGUUACCCAAAGUGUUCAAUUUUGAACUGUGGUAGGUGAGUAAUGUUCCCUACUAGAAAGGAGAGGGCAAGGCUGGUGCCAGCCGCCGCGGUAAAACCAGCUCUUCAAGUGGUCGGGAUAAUUAUUGGGCUUAAAGUGUCCGUAGCCGGUUUAGUAAGUUCCUGGUAAAAUCGGGUAGCUUAACUAUCUAUAUGCUAGGAAUACUACUAUACUAGAGGGCGGGAGAGGUCUGAGGUACUACAGGGGUAGGGGUGAAAUCUUAUAAUCCUUGUUGGACCACCAGUGGCGAAGGCGUCAGACUGGAACGCGCCUGACGGUGAGGGACGAAAGCCAGGGGAGCGAACCGGAUUAGAUACCCGGGUAGUCCUGGCCGUAAACGAUGCAUACUAGGUGAUGGCACGGCCAUGAGCCGUGUCAGUGCCGUAGGGAAACCGUUAAGUGUGCCGCCUGGAAGUACGGUCGCAAGG
rnacentral:rRNA from 1 species